CAAAUUUUUAGGUAUAAUUAUCAUAUUAGUGGUAUGUUUUGCAUGUGAAUUAAUUUCCCGUUAGGGAAAUAUGAAAUUAUUUUUUUACCUUUUGUAUAAGGGUGGGUAGAGAAAAUUAGUUUUAAAUUUUUAGAAAAGAAAGGAUCUUUGAAGUUUUUUUAAAUUUUAUAAUAGGUUAAAAAAUUUCAAAGGAGUGAUACGCCUUCGUUUUUCCUUAUAUCUAGUUUGGAGAGACCUAUGGGUAACCCAUGGUUAAAUUUUAAGGUGCACCACACAGAAGUUCUAUUUUCUUUAAUAGUAGGGAUUUGUGUAAUAACAGGAAAUAGAUUACAUUUUAGUUUGUUGUUUGUUUUAAUAUGUUAAUUAAUUACUUAAUCAGUAGAAAGAUUGAAUUUUUGGCUCUAAAGUUUUUUUAAUUUAUAAUUAAAUACUGUUAUAGUUUUACUAUUUUCACCUAAGACUGAUUAUUAAAAUCAUAGCUGUAAUAUUUAUAGUUUUUUCUGCCCAAUGUUUUUGCGAAUAAAUGGCUGUGGUAUCACACUAAGGUAGCGAAAUUAUUAGUUAUUUAAUUGGUAACGAGUAUGAAAGAAAUUUCUUAGGCGGCAUUCUUCUUCAUUUUGAACUUAUAUUGUUGUUGAAAAUAACAACUUAUACCUCAAGACUAAAAGACCCUAGAAUUUUUAUAUACCGAAGGCAUAUUUGGUUGGGGCAACAAAAUUAAACAAACAAAAAUAAAUUGUUUUUUAUUUGAACUUUUAUUAAAGAAAGUUUGUUAAAAUACUCUAGGGAUAACAGCUUAAUUAUCUUUUUUAGUUCUUAUAUAUAAGAUAGUUUGGGACCUCGAUGUUGGAUUAAAAUUACUAUCAGACGCAGAAGUUUGAUUAGUGAGACAGUUCGUCUCUAAAAUUUUUACAUGAUUUGAGUUAAAGUCGGCGUAAGCCAGACUGGAUUCUAUCUGAGGUUAUUUAUUUUUUUACCGUAGUACGAAAGGACCCGGUACACUAUAAAUUAUAGAUUAAUACCUA
rnacentral:rRNA from 1 species